CAAAGGGGUACAGACUGCAGUAAAGGUUAAGAACCACUGGCUUAGAUAAAUAGCAGAUAUUUCUUCUGUGCCAUGCUCCCAUGUCCUCAAUAUCAAUUAAACAAAGCACCCUGGAAAGACUAGAAAUUGGGAAUACCCAAUCAUUCCUAAACAAAGCUGUGGUUAGUGAAGACCUGGGCAAAGACCUAUCUCUUCCUAUGUUCUUUAAGAACCCAACUACACUCUUAUACAUGGUUUUUACGUUUAUACAUGUAACCAUUAAUUUUCAAAGAUUUUAGCAAACAUCCAAAAAUUUCACAAAAUCAGUGUUUCUGAUUAAUUUCACUGUGCAGAAAUGGGAGACAGAAACAAAGUCCAGACAACUCAAAUUUGGAUAAUUAGCCUUCAGAUAAUCGUGGUUUAUUUGUAGGUGUUACUGCAGCACCUACAGCUGUGACAUCUGGCAUACAUAACUGUAAAACCUACUCCUUUGACAGGGUUAAAACACAGUUCAUUUUUGCAACUUCUGUUGUCCCUGCAGAGUUAACUCGGGCUCUUAAUCAGCUGUUGCCCAUAAUCUCAUCUUCAAGUUCCCCUCCCCAUAUCCAUUCAAAACCCUCUGACCUGCGUUUAGUGAUGCUUUAAACCCAGUUUAGCUGGGUAUUAGAGCUCAGGUGCCACUUUUACUUGGGCUGGUAACCCUCCCAGUUUUAUAGUGCAGAACUAGGCUAAAUCACCAAGUGCUGAUAGACCUCAAAUGCCUUCCCAGAAUACUGUACUUCAUGCCCCCCGCCCCCAUUGCCUAGAAGGACAGACAAGUUCUUCCACAAUUUACUGGGAAGAGCAGCUUAGCUUACUGCAGUACCAAGAACCAUGGGAUAUGUCCCUCAAACUCCUAAUGACCCAUGAGUGAGUGCAGCUCCAGUGAGGACACGUUAGCUCAGGCUUCUCAAAACCAGGUGAAUUCCUCCCUUCUCUAUCAGUGGACGAAAGAGUUUGGUGCAGUGACAGUUGUAAGAGCCCACGGGAACAAAUCAACACCAUAAAAGGUUCUUAACGGAGCAGUUUCUGAGACCUGUUGUGUAUGAAGAGAAUCCAGAGUAUCUAGAGGAGGCUCUGAAGAACAGUGCCCAUGAUGCAAACAUCUCACUCUAUGUCCUCAGUUCCAGUGCAACCUGUGCUGAUGAUGCAUCAGUCACUGUAGAUAAGCAUGAGUUAGCACAUGGAAUGCUAACGGAGUACGGCUAGCAUCUGAGAAUGUGGUAAUAUUUUUGUUUUCUCAAACAAAAGUGGAUCUGUGAUGUUUUCAAUAUCUUACUUUUAUAGGGAUUGAGCUUGUAACAUUUGUUCAUGUGUCAAAUACCAUUGAAGUCAAUGGGACUCCUUACGUGAGCAAGGAUAGCAGGAUUGCGCUCAGGUCUUUUAGUGUAUUAAGCAAGAAUGUUUAUGGAGAAAACUGUAAAUAAUCAUUUUAAAACUGAUGAAAAUUAUUUUUAUCCUGUUUACAUGGCAAUUCUACUGCUGAGAGGAGCAAUAUGAUCUGAAAACUGAGUACGGUGGGGCUAGUCAUAUGCAUAAGCUUUUGCAGGAUGGGAAUCCUGGCACUUUAAAAUUGCUUCUGUUAAGAGUUUUCCUGCCUGUAAGAAUGGAUGAUUUCCAUUGAAUAUCCCCAAGUUCCUCUAUCUAUGACUCUUACUUCCUGCAGGGCAGGAGGAAUCCUGUCUACCUUAGGGUUUUUUACUGUCACCCAUCAUUGUAGUAUCAGAAUGCUUUCCACAUAAAAUCAGUGAAGACCGAAUGGACUUCAUGAAGUCUUUGACACCUCUCCCUUGUUGGGGGUCAAAAUUAUUCUUGGGUUGUGUUUUUUUUUUUUUUGUAGUUUCUUUUAUUCAAACAAAAACCCUAUGUCUAAUACAUACAUACAAGUCUCAACCAUUGUCGCGCAGAAUAAUCGUUUAUCGGCCACAGAAACUGAAUCACAAAUACACUAUCUUAAGCCUAAUGCAAUAUACAGUUGUACAUGUGAGAAAGAACUAUCAAAAAUAAGCACUAAUCUUAUUUAUUUCCUGUGUUAGUUAAUAUAAGGUCACACACAACAACUAGUGUUUUUUAGGAAGAUGCACCAAAGAUUUAAUGAAUCUGAUUAUACAACUGUUUGUCAUCUUGAUGGUUCAUUGGCAAUGAUAAUUAGUACCCUAUUGCUUUAAUUUAGCACAAGCCAAACUGCAAAUUGUUUAACUUAAAUAAAGCAGACUGUACUGAU